GCCUAACACAUGCAAGUCGAGCGGUAGCAGGACCUGUAGCAAUACAGGUUGCUGACGAGCGGCGGACGGGUGAGGAAUACGUAGGAACUUGCCCUUCAGUGGGGGAUAACCAAGGGAAACUUUGGCUAAUACCGCAUAAUCUCGGGAGAGUAAAGCUGCCGCAAGGUGGUGCUGAAGGAGAGGCCCGCGUACGAUUAGCAAGUUGGUGAGGUAAGAGCUCACCAAGGCGAUGAUCGGUAACUGGUCUGAGAGGACGACCAGUCACACUGGGACUGAGACACGGCCCAGACUCCUACGGGAGGCAGCAGUGGGGAAUAUUGGACAAUGGGUGCAACCCUGAUCCAGCGAUGCCGCGUGAGUGAAGAAGGCCCUCGGGUCGUAAAGCUCUUUAUGUUGGGAAGAAGGUUAUUGGAGGAAAUGCUAGUAACUUGACGGUACCGACAGAAUAAGCACCGGCAAACUCUGUGCCAGCCGCCGCGGUAA
rnacentral:rRNA from 1 species